rnacentral:rRNA from 1 species
AUGUCAGUGUUGAUCAAACCUGGUCCAAGCCAUGCUGGUAUGUCUAGUUGGACUAGACCUCCUGUGGGAUGGCUGAAAGUAAACACAGAUGCUGCGUUUGUGGCCAUUUCGGGUGAAUCUAGUGCUGGGUACAUUAUAAGAGACUUCAUGGGCAGACUUGUUAGAGCAGAGGGCGUAAAACUCCAUCCCUGUGCAAGUGCCGAAGAGGCUGAAGUUUGUGCGUGUGUCGCUGGGCUGAAGGCUGCUCUUGACUUGGGAAAUGAUAAGAUUAUCGUUGAAUCUGAUUGUGCUGCAGUUAUUUUGAACAUUCUGUCCCCUGCAACCCCUCUUGCAGCUUGGAGAGAGCAUUAUAUUGUGAUUAGGGAUCUUCUUCAAGAUAGUUCAAACAUUGUCUUUCGAAAGAUUGGGAGAGAUGGCAACAAAGUUGCUCAUGAGUUAGCCAGGCUAACCCAGAGCAGUGGUAGGGGGGCUGUCCAUAUGGGCCAACUACCACUGGUUUUGGCGUUGCUGGUGCAAUCUGAUUGUAACGACUGUGAUGAUAUUUUAAUAUAA